rnacentral:lncRNA from 1 species
UUUAAAAUAAUACAUGUAUUAUGUAUGAAAUACUGCCACUAUUUAUAUAUAUUAAUAUAUAUACAACUGUACAAUAUAAAAACAAACUUCCCAGCAGAGAUAAGCAUGCCAAAAUCUCACUAAUAAUGCGUUCUUAAAAGUAUUAUAUAGUAUUAUGCAUACAUGUAGUAGUCAUGUCAACCCCUAGACAUAACCGGAUGUUUUGAAGUCAUUUGAGUAUAUACGUUUAUAUAUAAAACCAAAUAAAUAUUAUGAAAAGAUAUAUUAAGUUAGUCAUCUAUAAUGAUCUACUGUGGUUCAGUGUGGGACUUCUGUUAUAGUGUAAUUGUCUACUACAUAUUUAUCGCUAUAUUUGUAUAAGGAUUCUCAAAAACACAUAGAUAUAAGAAGAUGUGAUAUGAGUGCCAAUGCGACAACUCUCCAUCCAAGUCACAAGUUGUAAAUAGUUAACCAUUCAUUAUAGGUCAAAAUGUGGACUUCAACGGUACUGCAUCUAGGUCUCGGAUGUCUGGUAGUCUAAGUAAUUACAGCUAGGUCUCGGAUGUCUGGUAGUGUAAGUAAUUACAGCUAUGUCUCGGAUGUCUGGUAGUCUAAGUAAUUACAGCUAGGUCUCGGAUGUAUGGUAUUCUAAGUUAUAACAGCUAGGUCUCGGAUGUCUGGUAGUCUAAGUCUCGGAAGUAUUACAGCUAGGUCUCGGAUGUCUUGUCUAGUCAGCUAGGUCUCGGAUGUAAUUAUUAUGUCAAGUAAUUACUAGGUCUCGGAUGUCUGGUAAGUAAUUACAGCUAGUCUCGGAUGUAUGGUAUUCUAAGUUAAUUAACAGUCUAGUCAGCUCGGAUGUCUCUAAGUAAUUACAGCUAGGUCUAGUCUAAGUAAUUACAGCUAAGUCUGGUAUCUAAGUAAUUACGCUAGAUGUCUGGUAGUCUAAGUAAUGCUAGGGUCUCGGAUGUCUGGUAGUCUAAGUAAUUACAGCUAUGGUCUCGGAAUGUCUAGGUAGUCUAGUCUAAGUAAUUACUAGGGUCUCGGAUGUAUGGUAACUAAGGUCUCGGAUGUAUGGCUAAGUUCAGCUAAUGUAUGUUAUAACAGCUAGGUCUCGGAUGUCUGGUAGUCUAAGUAAGUA